GUCCAGGGAUGGGAAUCGAACCCACAGUGUUCCGCUUACUGGGCAGAUGCCAUGUCCAGUAGGCUAUGUCCACUGGA